rnacentral:tRNA from 2 species
GCUUUUAAAGGAUAGUAGAAAUCCACUGGUCUUAGGAACCAAUCACCUUGGUGCAAAUCCAAGUAAAAGCA